UGGGGAAUAUUGGACAAUGGGCGAAAGCCUGAUCCAGCCAUGCCGCGUGUGUGAAGAAGGUCUUCGGAUUGUAAAGCACUUUAAGUUGGGAGGAAGGGCAUUAACCUAAUACGUUAGUGUUUUGACGUUACCGACAGAAUAAGCACCGGCUAACUCUGUGCCAGCAGCCGCGGUAAUACAGAGGGUGCAAGCGUUAAUCGGAAUUACUGGGCGUAAAGCGCGCGUAGGUGGUUUGUUAAGUUGGAUGUGAAAUCCCCGGGCUCAACCUGGGAACUGCAUUCAAAACUGACUGACUAGAGUAUGGUAGAGGGUGGUGGAAUUUCCUGUGUAGCGGUGAAAUGCGUAGAUAUAGGAAGGAACACCAGUGGCGAAGGCGACCACCUGGACUAAUACUGACACUGAGGUGCGAAAGCGUGGGGAGCAAGCA
rnacentral:rRNA from 1 species